rnacentral:rRNA from 1 species
GACGAACGCUGGCGGCGUGCUUAACACAUGCAAGUCGAACGGAAAGGCCCUGCUUUUGUGGGGUGCUCGAGUGGCGAACGGGUGAGUAACACGUGAGUAACCUGCCCUUGACUUUGGGAUAACUUCAGGAAACUGGGGCUAAUACCGGAUAGGAGCUCCUGCUGCAUGGUGGGGGUUGGAAAGUUUCGGCGGUUGGGGAUGGACUCGCGGCUUAUCAGCUUGUUGGUGGGGUAGUGGCUUACCACGGCGUUGACGGGUAGCCGGCCCGGGAGGGUGGACGGGCCCCAUGGGACUGCGGUACGGACCAGGACGCAAACGGGCGCAAGAGGUGGGAACAUUUGCAAAAUGGGCGGAGGCUUAAGACAGAAACGCCGCGUGGGGAAGAACGCCCUUCGGGUUGUAAACGGCUUCCGCUGAUACCGAUACUGAAUUAAGUUAAUGGGUAAAGAAGCACCGGCUAACUACGUG